UACAGACGGUCCAAACGUUAUUCGGAAUCACUGGGGCUUAAAGAGUUCGUAGGCGGUCAGGAUAGUGGGGUGUGAAAGCCCUCGGCUUAACCGAGGAAUUGCGCUCCAUACUACCUGACUUGAGGAGGCUAGAGGUAAGCGGAACUGAUGGUGGAGCGGUGAAAUGCGUUGAUAUCAUCAGGAACACCGGAGGCGAAGGCGGCUUACUGGGGCCUUUCUGACGCUGAGGAACGAAAGCUAGGGGAGCGAACGGG
rnacentral:rRNA from 1 species